rfam:Brassica napus, WGS project CCCW01000000 data, contig: 25482
GGAACAUAAGAACCCGUCUCUUAACUUUUAACUAAAAAAACUAAACCGGUUCUUAGCUUUUUUAGUUAAAAGUUAAGAGACGGGUUCUUAUAUUCC